rnacentral:lncRNA from 1 species
UCUUUUCAAAAUCAGAUUGGGUUACAAUUAUGAGCAAUAACAUUACAAAACUUGGUGUUUUCUUGAGCUCACUUCACAUUUUCAAUUAAUCUAGAAAUGCUUUUAUACAACAAUUCAUUAGUUUGGAUUAUUACAUGGAUGAAUGCUUGGUUACACUCUACUCUUGAGAAGCUACAAGAAGGGCGGUGGUGGUGGUGGGCGUGAUGGUGGAGUAAGAUGGGUGAUGGCAUGGGCGUGCGGCCCAAGGACUCAAUUAAUAAGUUAAAUAUUUUAUACAAAAAUUAAAAAUUUCAUAACUUGGUACAAUGGUGGCUGCCUUUGUUCGGCAAUCUCGCCACCAUUCUUCUACGUCUCCUUCAUCUUCAUCAUCUAAGUUAUGUCCUUUUCCUGUUUUCUGUAUCUUUGUUGUCCUUUUGUUACCCGAUUGAGAUUGAAUAGAAUCCUUUUAUUGGCGGCGUGGGUCCCAAAUCACUGACAAUGCAUCUAUACAUGGGAAUAAAUAGUCCAACAUUAAUUUUUCAUCCACAUUAUUUAUUCAUCUUUUGCUGCAGCCAGUGUCCUAUUUUUAUAUUUUUAUAUUUUUAUUUUUCCAUUCAUACCCACUCUUGAUGUUGUUUCAGGUCUCAACCAAAAAUAAUGUUGUGUCCUCAUGCCUACACAUGACAAAUUAAAAAUUAAAAAUUAAAACUCAGUUAGAAGGAGGAAGUGUGUAUGUUUGGGUGUAUAUACAUUGUCUGAGAUAAACAAACAUGCAUGUAAGAAAAAAGAGCAAGGGAAGGAGGGAUGGAUAUGGAGGAAAUAAAACUUUUAAAUUGUGGGAUGAUUAUUAUGACUGCACUGAACAAUGCAUGUUGCACAUGGGCGGUGCUAAUUGCCCUUUAUUAUUAUUAUUAUUAUUAAUUUAUUGUUUACAAUAAUGGCUUGCUUGUGUAUUUUAGUGGAGUUGUUUAAAUUUUGACCUCCUUCUUGAUUUGUUUUGUUUUGAUGUGAAUAGAUAUAUUGAAUAGAUAUAUGGAUGGCACCAAAAUGGCAAUUGGCAAGUGUUUAUGAGUCUUGGGUGGUCUCCAUUACACCGCCAUCAAAAAACAGAAAUAAACUGUUUUUAGGGUUUCAUCCCCACAGUUAACAAAGGGCAGCUGAUAAAGAGCCCCACCCACAAUUAUGUUUGUGUUUUUGUUUUUUACUUUUUAGGUCACUUCUCCUGCCUUCUUCUUAUUUCCUUUUUGUCUUGAGCCCCACACUCACUAUACUUGGACUGCCCGCCAACUUUUAAUAGAAAUAUGGGGGGCCCAUGAAGUAAUGGAUGUAGAGCCCCCCCUUUGGGCGAGAAUUCCAAGAUGCCCCAACUUUGUUUUUAUAGAGAAUUCAUUCUUCCCAGUAAAGGAAAACAUCAGCAAGGAUGAUACAUUAUUAUUUUUGGUCAUGAAUUACAUGUUUGUUAAUGUUUUUAGUCUUGCUGUUGAAAACCCACAUCUAUAGAAAAUUCUGUUUGUAUGGACUUUAAAUGGCAUAUGAUUUGUCCACAUGAAGGUAAUGCUCAUCUUGGGUUUGGAUGCGAGCUUAUGCCUCUUUCCCAGUAGAUCUAAUCCUUAAGAUUUAUCAGGAGUGCUGUAAGUUAAUUUAUUAUUAUUUUAGAUCUUAGUAGUUGACAAGUUGUGAAAAACAAUUUCAAAAGGAUAGAAAAAACCUAAAUGUGAGCUUGAAAACCUUCCUGUGGAGAUCAUCCUUUUGAAGCUUCUCAGAGUAGAGUUUGUAACUGGUUCACCAAAGUGAUGCUCAUUUGUCCUUUCAACUAGAGUUUCAAUAUUAGAAACAAACAAAAAAACCCUUAACAAUCAAAAUUUAAACAAGGGCUAUUUAACCACUAGACUACAUAUUAAGGCUAUUUUUUGUGGUUUUAGAAUUAAUAAUCACAGUUGGAAUCACAAGUAUGGCAUCAAAAGGGAUUGAAAGCUUCAAAUGAAGUUGCAGCACCAAUUCUCUCAAUCCUAAAAUAACAUUAGCUUGGAGAAAACAAAAUAAAAAUAAAAACCAAAAAUCUCAAAAAA